UUCUUUUUGUCUAAGUGAACCAUAGAUCAAUUAAUCAAAUGGGACUUUUGCUUGAGCUCCCCCUCCCUAAAGGAAAUCACUUUGCAUAUGUUCUAACUUCUAACCUUAAGCUCACUUUUCUUGAAAUUGAAAAAGAAGACAUAAGAUAAAUAGGAAGACUUGAGAAUGUGCUUUCAAUGAAGGUUAGUUUUCCUCCUUUUGAAAGGUAUUGUCUCCUCCACAAAGCGAGCCUUCUCUAAAAUUUCUCCAUCACAUCUCACACCCUCACUGAUUUGUAAGGAGCUCCCAAGGGGAGGUCCAAGGAAGUAGUGGGUAGGAUUCUAACCUUACAACCUAACACCAAAGUAAGACCCUCCGCAUUGCAACUUUGCUUAUUGGUAUUAACUGAUGUUUUUCCAUUUUAUUUUUAAAGCCUAAUAUAAUCUCAAACCACAUGAAUUUCUUGCUUAGAUACUCUAAUUUCUCUUGAUUUACAUUUUCAAAAAAAUUAGUGUCAUCAACAAAUAACAAGUGGGAUACUUCCAUUCUCUCCCACCUACUCUAAAGCCUAAGAUGAAGCCCUCUUUCCUUGCCCUCAUUAGAAUCCUAAUAAGAGCCUCUAUCUAUCAAAAAAAAAAAAAAAAAUCCUACUAAGAGCCUCUAUCACCAAGAUGAAAAGGUUGGGACAUAGUUGAUCUCUUUGCCUCAAACCCUUGGAGUUCUAAACCAAUGGGGUUCCAUUGACUAGAAUAGAGAAUUUGACUGUAGAAAUUUACCAUUUAAUCCAUCUCACCUAAUAUUAAGAAGACAUACGAUCAUGUAAAUUGGUUCUUACGUCUAGACCAUAAACCCCUGAGAACACUCAGAUAAACUCACCUGCACAGUUUUUGAUCUAACGGAACAUAAAGAACACUCCUACCUCCAUACAAAUCAGUUCCAACACUUCGUUGAAUUGGGAUUUCUCUUGCUAACCCAUUAGCUUUCAUUAUUCCCCCUUUUAUGUUCCCACUCCUAAACUCCUCACCAAUUGCAUGGUCAUCUAAGUGGCUGCGCCACCUUUGUUUCUUGAAGACAAACUAAAUCA
rnacentral:lncRNA from 1 species